rnacentral:rRNA from 1 species
GUCCCUCAGUAACGGCGAGUGAAGCGGGAUCUAGCCCAGCACCGAAUCCCCCGGCGGAAACGCCGGCGGGAACUGUGGUGUUCGGGACGACCCACGCCCGUCGGUCGGACGCCCGAGUCCUCCUGAUAGGGGCUUCUCCCAGAGCGGGUGUAAGGCCUCUACGGCGUCCGGUCGGCGAGCCCGGGGAGUCCUAGGAGUCGGGUUGUUUGUGAUUGCAGCCCAAAGCGCGUGGUAAACUCCAUCUAAGGCUAAAUACUGGCACGAGUCCGAUAGCAAACAGUUCCUUUUAACUCUCUUUUCAAAGUACUUUUCACCCUUCCCUCACGGUACUUGUAUGCUAUCGGUCUCUCGUUGGUAGGACCGUAUCGUCCGGCCGCGGGAUUCAGUCCGCCGGCCCGGCGGCGGCGCUCGGGCGCGCAUCUCUCGUGGGAGCGCGCCGGGCGUCAGGACCGUCGGGCGGCGAGGGUACUUUCCGCGGCCGGAGCGCCACGACCGGUUCGCCGGCGGCGAGAAACUCCCGGGCAAGGUGACCGGCGCUUCGGCGUCGGAGCAUACAGGCCCGGCGGGCGUCGGCCCGUCGGCGGACCGAGGAAGACCGUGCGGCGGCGCGUCGACCGCCGGUCGUGCGAGUGAGUUCGACUCGCGGGGACCGGUUUCGGUGCCCUCGGACAGGGCGUGCGUA